GAUGAACGCUGGCGGCGUGCCUAAUACAUGCAAGUCGAGCGAACGGACGAGAAGCUUGCUUCUCUGAUGUUAGCGGCGGACGGGUGAGUAACACGUGGAUAACCUACCUAUAAGACUGGGAUAACUUCGGGAAACCGGAGCUAAUACCGGAUAAUAUUUUGAACCGCAUGGUUCAAAAGUGAAAGACGGUCUUGCUGUCACUUAUAGAUGGAUCCGCGCUGCAUUAGCUAGUUGGUAAGGUGACGGCUUACCAAGGCAACGAUGCAUAGCCGACCUGAGAGGGUGAUCGGCCACACUGGAACUGAGACACGGUCCAGACUCCUACGGGAGGCAGCAGUAGGGAAUCUUCCGCAAUGGGCGAAAGCCUGACGGAGCAACGCCGCGUGAGUGAUGAAGGUCUUCGGAUCGUAAAACUCUGUUAUUAGGGAAGAACAUAUGUGUAAGUAACUGUGCACAUCUUGACGGUACCUAAUCAGAAAGCCACGGCUAACUACGUGCCAGCAGCCGCGGUAAUACGUAGGUGGCAAGCGUUAUCCGGAAUUAUUGGGCGUAAAGCGCGCGUAGGCGGUUUUUUAAGUCUGAUGUGAAAGCCCACGGCUCAACCGUGGAGGGUCAUUGGAAACUGGAAAACUUGAGUGCAGAAGAGGAAAGUGGAAUUCCAUGUGUAGCGGUGAAAUGCGCAGAGAUAUGGAGGAACACCAGUGGCGAAGGCGACUUUCUGGUCUGUAACUGACGCUGAUGUGCGAAAGCGUGGGGAUCAAACAGGAUUAGAUACCCUGGUAGUCCACGCCGUAAACGAUGAGUGCUAAGUGUUAGGGGGUUUCCGCCCCUUAGUGCUGCAGCUAACGCAUUAAGCACUCCGCCUGGGGAGUACGACCGCAAGGUUGAAACUCAAAGGAAUUGACGGGGACCCGCACAAGCGGUGGAGCAUGUGGUUUAAUUCGAAGCAACGCGAAGAACCUUACCAAAUCUUGACAUCCUUUGACAACUCUAGAGAUAGAGCCUUCCCCUUCGGGGGGCAAAGUGACAGGUGGUGCAUGGUUGUCGUCAGCUCGUGUCGUGAGACGUUGGGUUAAGUCCCGCAACGAGCGCAACCCUUAAGCUUAGUUGCCAUCAUUAAGUUGGGCACUCUAAGUUGACUGCCGGUGACAAACCGGAGGAAGGUGGGGAUGACGUCAAAUCAUCAUGCCCCUUAUGAUUUGGGCUACACACGUGCUACAAUGGACAAUACAAAGGGCAGCGAAACCGCGAGGUCAAGCAAAUCCCAUAAAGUUGUUCUCAGUUCGGAUUGUAGUCUGCAACUCGACUACAUGAAGCUGGAAUCGCUAGUAAUCGUAGAUCAGCAUGCUACGGUGAAUACGUUCCCGGGUCU
rnacentral:rRNA from 1 species